AGGGCGUAUGGUGGAUGCCUUGGCAGACAGUACCGAUGAAGGACGUUUGAGGCUGCGAUAUGCCUCGGGGAGCCGCCAGCAGGGCUUUGAUCCGAGGAUUUCCGAAUGGGGGAACCCGCCGGCCGUCAUGGGCCGGCACCGCGUUCGCGCGGGGGGUACGCAGGGAAGUGAAACAUCUCAGUACCUGCAGGAAAGGAUGUUCCGUGAGUAGUGGCGAGCGAAAGCGGAUCAGGCCAAACCGCGCGCGUGUGACAGGCGCCAGCCGUUGCGCGCGUGGUGUUGAGGGAGCGUGUGUCCGGGUCCUGGCGGGCCCGGCCGGAGUGAUAAAACGGCGUGUGAGGCGAACCGGAUUGAAUGCCGGGCCGCAGAGGGUGAUGGCCCCGUAGCCGAACGCGCGUCGUCUCCGGAUCGUGUCUCCCAAGUAGCGCGGGACUCGUGGAAUCCCGUGUGAAUCCGCCCCGACCGUGGGGUAAGCCUAGAUAUACCUGUCUGACCGAUAGCGAACUAGUACCGUGAGGGAAAGGUGAAAAGCACCCCGGGAGGGGAGUGAAACAGUCUCUGAAACCGUGCGCUUACAAACCGUCGGAGCCUUUCGGGGUGACGGCGUGCCUAUCGAAAAAUGAGUCUGCGAGUCAGUGGCACGUGGCGAGCGUAACCCGUGUGGGGUACGCGUAGCGAAGGCGAGUCUCAAAAGGCGUUUGAGUCGCGUGUCCUGGACCCGAAGCGGGAUGAUCUAGCCCUGAGCAGGUUGAAGCGCGGGUAAGACCGCGUGGAGGACCGAACCCACCUGGGUUGAAAACCGGGGGGAUGACUUGGGGUUAGGGGUGAAAGGCCAAUCAAAUUCCGUGAUAGCUGGUUCUCUCCGAAAUGCAUUUAGGUGCAGCGUCGGGGAUUACGUCCGGGGGGUAGAGCUACUGGAUGCUUGAGGGCCCGUAUCGGGUACCGACAGCAGCCAAACUCCGAAUACCCGUGACGCGUAUCCCGGCAGUGAGUCGGCGGGGGAUAAGCUCCGUCGUCGAAAGGGAGACAGCCCAGAUCGUCGUCUAAGGUCCCCAAGCGCGUGCUAAGUGGGAAAGGAUGUGGAGUCGCAUAGACAGCCAGGAGGUUGGCUCAGAAGCAGCCACCCUUGAAAGAGUGCGUAACAGCUCACUGGUCUAGUGGUUCCGCGCCGACAAUGUAGCGGGGCUCAAGCACGCCACCGAAGACGCGGCAGCGUCCGUCUGGAUGCUGGGUAGGAGAGCGUCCCCAUCGGGGCGAAGCGGCGGCGCAAGCCUGCCGUGGACCGUUGGGGAGUGAGAAUGCAGACAUGAGUAGCGAGAGGCGGGUGCGAAUCCCGCCCGCUGGAUGACCAAGGGUUCCGGGGCCACGUUCGUCGUCCCCGGGUGAGUCGGGUCCUAAGGCGAGGCCGACAGGCGUAGUCGAAUGGAUGAACGGGCUGAUAUUCCCGUACCGGCAGCGAACCGAAACAACCGAGGCCUGGGGCGCUAACCUCCGGGUCCGUGCCGCCUCCCCUUUCGGGGGGUCGCGGCGCGGGCGCGUUGGGAUCCCCCCUCGUAGUAGGUCAGCGCAGGAGUGACGCAUCAGGGCAGCCGGCCGCGGAGGUGGUUUUCCGUGGUCAAGCGUUCGAGCCCGUCCCGCAGGCAAAUCCGCGGGGCGUCGGGGCGAGGCGUGAUGAUGGGGGCCUUACGGCCCGAAUCCGGUGAUCCGUGGUGCCGAGAAAAGCUUCGGCGUCAGGCGCGUUGCCGCCCGUACCCCAAACCGACACUGGUGGUCAGGUAGAGAAUACCAAAGCGAUCGAGCGAAUCCUGGUCAAGGAACUCGGCAAAUUGCUCCCGUGCCUUCGGCAUAAGGGAGACCCCCUGCGGUGAUGAGCGGCGGGGGGUGGCACAGGCCAGGGGGUAGCGACUGUUUACCAAAAACACAGGAGCGUGCGAAGGCGCAAGCCGCUGUAUACGCUCUGACGCCUGCCCGGUGCCGGAAGGUUAAGAGGAUCCGUCAGCUUUUGCGAAGCGGUGAAUUCAAGCCCCGGUAAACGGCGGUGGUAACUAUAACCAUCCUAAGGUAGCGAAAUUCCUUGUCGGGUAAGUUCCGACCUGCACGAAUGGCGUAACGACUUCCCCACUGUCUCGACCAGGAGCUCGGCGAAAUUGCAGUACGAGUAAAGAUGCUCGUUAAGCGCAGAAGGACGAAAAGACCCCGGGACCUUUACUAUACCUUGGUAUUGGCAUUAGGCGCGGAUUGUGUAGCAUAGGCGGGAGGCUUCGAGGCGGGUGCGC
rnacentral:rRNA from 1 species